rnacentral:rRNA from 1 species
UCGGCCAUAUUGGUUAACAGAUCCUCACUUGCUGGACGGCUGGCGAUGAUCUUUAUCGGUUGUCGUCAGUUGCCAGAACGUUUACUUUGAGAAAAUUAGAGUGCUAAAAGCAGGCUCACGCCUAUAUAUUGCAUGGAAUAAUGAAAUAAGAUCUCGAUUUUAUUUCGUUGGUUUUAGAAAUUGAGAUAAUGAUUAAUAGGGAUUCAGAGGGGGGCGUACGUACUGUGGUGUGAGAGGUGAAAAUUCUUGGAUCGCCACAGGACGAACAGCAGCGAAGGCGUUCGCCAAGAAUGUUUUCAUUAAAUCAAGAACGAAAGUUUGAGGUUCGAAGACGAUUAGAUACCGUCCUAGUUCAAACCAUAAAACGUUGCCAACUGUCUUUUAGAUGCGGUUACUCAUAUGACUCAUCUGGCGGAUCUCGAGAAAUCUAAGUUUUUAGGUUCC